AUUGAACGCUAGCGGGAUGCCUUACACAUGCAAGUCGAACGGAGUGGCGAACGGGUGAGUAAUGUAUCGGAACGUGCCCAGUAGCGGGGGAUAACUACGAGAAAGCGUAGCUAAUACCGCAUACUAUCGGAGCGGCCGAUAUCGGAUUAGCUAGGUGGGGGGGGAACGGCACAACAAGGCGACGAUCCGUAGCUGGUUUGAGAGGACGACCAGCCACACUGGGACUGAGACACGGCCCAGACUCCUACGGGAGGCAGCAGUGGGGAAUUUUGGACAAUGGGCGAAACCCUGAUCCAGCCAUCCCGCGUGUGCGAUGAAGGCCUUCGGGUUGUAAAGCACUUUUGGCAGGAAAGCGGUACCUGCAGAAUAAGCACCGGCUAACUCCGUGCCAGCCGCCGCGGUAAUAC
rnacentral:rRNA from 1 species